UACGAAGGGGGCCAGCGUUGUUCGGAAUUACUGGGCGUAAAGCGUGCGCAGGCGGCUUCUCAAGUCAGGGGUGAAAGCCCAGAGCUCAACUCUGGAAUUGCCUUUGAGACUGAGUGGCUUGAGUACGAGAGAGGUGAGUGGAAUUCCCAGUGUAGAGGUGAAAUUCGUAGAUAUUGGGAAGAACACCGGUGGCGAAGGCGGCUCACUGGCUCGUAACUGACGCUCAUGCACGACAGCGUGGGGAUCAAACAGG
rnacentral:rRNA from 1 species